GACAGGGUCUCGCUCUGUCACCCAGGCUAGAGUACAGUGGCGUGAUCUCGGCUCACUACAACCUCUGCCUCCUGGGUUCAAGCGAUUCUUCUGCCUCAGCCUCCCUAGUAGCUGGGACUUCAGGUGCACGCCACCACACCCAGGUAAUUUUUGUAUUUUUAGUAAGGACAGAGUUUCGCCAUGUUGGCCAGGCUGGUCUUGAACUGCUGACCUCGGGUGAUUCUCCCACCUCGGCCUCCCAGUGUCCCGGGAUUACAAGAGUGAGUCACUGCGCCUGGCCUAGGAGAAGCUUUUCUUUCACUUGCUUUUGCUUUUUAGAACUGGGAGGGCCCACGCCCCACGUGCAGUGACGCAAGGGUGACGCACGCCACGGCCGUUGGGAGCCUGAGACUCAAACAUGGCAGCGCCACCUUCUCCAGGAAGGACGGCCGACCAAGCAGACCAGGUAUGCACCUUCCUCUUCAAAAAGCCUGGACGGAAAGGGGCUGCAGGCCUCAGAAAGCGCCCGGCCUGCGACCCCGAGCAAGGAGAGAGCAGCAGCAGCGGGGACGAGGGCGACACAGUGGCUCUGCCCCCGCGGGUGGCACCGAGGCCCCGGGGCCUCCACAGCUGGCAGAAGGCGGCUCACGGCGACAGAAGGGGCGAGGAGGCGGCGCCUGAGAGCCUCGGCGUAGUGUACAGGUCCACCCGCUCGGCGAAGCCUGUGGGGCCGGAGGACAUGGGGGCCACCGCUGACUUCGAGCAGGACACCGAGAAGGAGCACCAUACGCCGACCAUCCUCAAGCGCAGCCAGCGGGUCCAGGAGGCACUGCGGGGUCGGGAACACGACCACAUCUACCGGGGAAUCCACAGCUACCUGAGGUACCUGAAGCCCAGGGACACGUCCACGGGCAACUCCUCCUCGGGGAUGGCGAGGAAGGGCCCCAUACGUGCGCCAGGGCAUCUGCGCGCCACUGUGCGCUGGGAUUACCAGCCUGACAUCUGCAAGGACUACAAGGAGACAGGCUUCUGUGGCUUCGGGGACAGCUGCAAAUUCCUCCACGACCGUUCCGAUUACAAGCUCGGGUGGGAGAUUGAACGGGAGCUUGAAGAGGGUCGCUACUGUAUCUGCGAGGACGAAAACCAUGAAGUGGGAAGCGAGGAAGAGGAAGUACCAUUCAGGUGUUUCAUAUGUCGCCAGGCCUUCCAAAACCCAGUCGUCACCAAGUGCAGGCAUUAUUUCUGCGAGAGCUGCGCGCUGGAGCACUUCCGGGCCACCCCGCGCUGCUACGUCUGUGACCAGCCAACCGGCGGCAUCUUUAACCCCGCCAAAGAACUGAUGGCGAAACUGCAAAAGCUUCAGGCUGCAGAAGGAAAAAAGAGAUGAGAAAGACUCAAGUCUGUAUGCACACUGGGGAGAAGCAGCCUGUUGAGUAAGAUGAGAGAGAUGACAGUCUUCCUGCAAUCCCGUGCCUGAGUAUGUAACCAAAAGAAUUGAAAUCCGGAUCUCAAAGAGCUAAAAAGAGAUAUCAGAGAAGGAAGAAAUGAUGGAACCAAGACCGGGAGGAAGUGGAGAGGAUGGGGCUCAAGAGUUACCAAAACAGCAAAUAAAGGAUAUCAGUUAAGAACCAAGGAGGGCAGGAGUUGACAGAAGAAUAUCCACGCUGAAGUUUCGAUUUGAUUUUGUUUGGCUGAUGUUAACAUCCUCUCACUUAAAAUGGCAAUGUAUUCCUCUCCCAAGACAAACACCAACAGAUCCACGCUGAGUUCCUCACAGCUGAUGAGUUCCUUACAAGGAACUGACACAGAUUAUGUAAAUUUUCAUAAGAGCCUAUCUCAUAUAUCAACUUUGGCUGUGAAUUCCUUGAAGACUGAAACCAUGUCUCACAUACUUCCUGUUUUUUAAUGGCCAACAGGUAGCUCAAUAAAAAGUCAGUUAGUGAAAAGUCAAUCAAACCAAGCUACCUAGCAGUCCGCUAUGCAAGCACCUGCUGCAGAGCGAACUUCAGCAAAACUUUCCACGUGAUUUCGACCUUGAACCACACCCAUCGACCCACCCACCACCAUGGCCAGGUUGCAGACAAAAGCAGAGCCGUGGUUGAGGGCACAGACCCAGGAGCAAGAUAGGAUUCAAGUCAUGGUUCUACCAGUUACAGCUGCGUGACCUUGGGUAUGUUACUUUACCUCUCUGUGCCUCAGUUUCCUCAUACAUAGUAGUAUCUCACAGGGUUGUUUUGAAGCAAAAAUUAACAUAUUUAGAACAGUGCCUGACAUAUAGUAUGUGCUAUAAACAUAUCGAUUAUUGUAAUUCAAGCAGAGAAAAUGGCAGCUUGAUAGUCGACAAGGCAGACAGUUCAAGUGCCCCAUAAAAGUGAGCCAUUUAUUCUGGCAUUUCACAUAGAGCUUUCUCUAAGAAUUGUCCUUGCCAAAGCUAACAACACAAAGCUUGUGUACAAUGACUUACUGGGCCCUACCCCUAAGUCCGUCCGUUUUUGUCAGUUCUGUCAAAGGGCUAUUUUAUUCACUUUCAAGCCUUCCAAAAACAUUUGGAAUCUGCACAAAAGAAGAAAUAUGAAACUUUCAGGCACUCCGAAGCAGAAACUCUAAGCUCUGGCUCCAGGAUUUUCCUCGCAAGGCUCACUCGAGUUUCUUUACAAUGCUUCAUGUGUGUUUUAGACCCCUUCAUAGACACUGGACUCAGCUACACUCGUGAACCUUGUCAACAAGUGCUCCAAGUCACCAACCUUUUGAAAACAUUCCAAAUAUGCACUAAGAUAUAUAGUUCUUAUUCCAUUUUUAAAAUGACAGAAUAAGGUUCAUAAUCAAUCAUUUGCAAAAUUAAGCAGAAAGGCGAUCACUAGUAAGCGCUGCCGAAUUUGGCAAUUUGGUUUACUAACAUAGAGUGAGUAAACAAAAUCUGCUAGCAUUUUGGCCGAUUUCCUUCCAGUCUUUUCUCUGUGUAUUUUUCAUAUUAAUGUAUGAAAUAAACAUUCUGGAGUUGGAAGGAAGAAGCAAGCAGGACUGCAGGGAGUGCACACAUUCCUUGGGAGCUGAGUCCUUCCCAUCACCACGCUCUAAGGUCACAACGCUGGAGCGACCCCUCAGACUUUUGCUGAAACAGCGCAGAACAGGGAUGAGGACAGUCCCCCAUCAGCACUGCACCACCUUACACAGCACACUGCUGGGGAAGUGAAGAGCAGUGUGGGGCCAGCUGGCUUUCAAAGUUAGCACCGUGGUUACCGGCACUUUAUCCUGUCUGGACCAGGUCCCACCACAUCACACCCCAACCCCUAUCCUUCCAGUCAAAAGAACACAUCAGCCAGGCUGUAGUUAAGCAACAACUGACUUGACGUUUUUUCUGUUCACUGAAGGCACACGUAAUGGUCAAUAAGUCCUUCGGAAUCAACAUGAGCAACGUGAGAAAAAUCUGGCAAAACCAAACAAUGCUUUGAUGUUCUCAUUAAUUUGCAUGGACUUAUGGAGGCAGCUCCAGUCCCUCUCCCCAUGACUGCCAGUUUCUGGUUAGGCCUUCUGAAAUCCUGAAAAUGCCUCACAGGCCUGCAUUCCAAGGUCACAAACCCCUAGGAUUCCAAAGACUCCAGGAGAGGCAAAAACCUAGAGCACAUGAAAAUCAAAACCUGAAGACACUGUACCCAGAUUGAUUAAUAUCCUGAAAUACACAAAAUUCCUUCUAAGGAGUUUUUAUAAGUACCACCUAAAAUUGAAGAAAACAGGGACAUUUUGCUGUUGACUUUUUCUGUGUGCCAACUGCCCAUAAAAAUUCCUCUCCUGUUUUGCAAGGACAGAACUCUCAAGAACAAAUGACCUAAUUAAACCUGAGAUUUCCUGGCUGAGAGCUAUGUAUAAAGCUGAAAUGCACUGAAAUGAUGCUGAAUUUGAAAAGAGCUCUAUGCCAAACUGAUUCAGUGAAUUAGGUUUGCCUUUUUUAUUCUACAUAUCCAGUGCUGGAGCUAAAAAACACGAGAUUGAUAGAUAUCCUUAACUACUUUUAUUUAUGAAGCAACCAGAAUGCGUAUUUCCCCACUUAUCUACUGCACAUUUUUCAAAAUGUGAUUAUACCACACUACAAAUGCAUCUUUUUGGCACAUUUCAUUGGUCUGCCUUUGCUACUGGGUUGUUGCCAGUGCAGUACAAUAACGUGGAUCUGCUGUCUCUCAUCCUAGCUUUCAGAAACGUGCUAAGUUAUCUCAUACUCUCCUCGGGCUCUAGACUCCCACCCCCACUGAUUUGCACAGAUGUUCAAGGAGAAAGAAUUCUUUCUUCCUUUAAACGAAUGUCAAGGGCCUGGCAAAAUCCUGUACUAAGAAAUGCAGAAGUCAGCACUCUUGAAAAGCUGGUUAUUAGCUCACUUCCUUCUCUCUCCAGCUUCUCCACUUCCAAAAAAUAAAUAUGAAAACUAUAACACUUGCCCAAGGUCUAAAAGAAACCAGGAAGCGGGCAGGUUAAGGGCUAACAGGUAACUUUUCUCUGCUUCUGUCUGUUGAAUGUUAAGGAACUGUUCGUUUCAUAGCCGAGCAUUUUAAGGGUGCUAUGCUAGAGGCAGCUCUGUGAUUUUCAUUCUUUCGCUACAACCCCUGGGGAGGUGAGGUCAUGGGGAAAUUCCAAGGGGGUCAAGGAGACCAGAAACCUAGCUGGUCACAUAACUGCUCAGUGGCACUGCCGGAGACCAGCCCCAGCCCCCGUGCCAACCCCCAUGACGCCCUAUUUUCAGAGCCUUGCUGAUCCUGCCAGUUUCUCCUGCCUUCCAAGCACUCUGUGCCGACAGCCACUGAGACAUCCCUGAGCAGCAGAAAUGAAAUCAGUCACCACACCCUGGUGUCUGCAGGACUCCCACUGAGAAAAGUCUCAUUCACGGCUAAUCAGAACUAGAAUUCUCAUACUUUUCCCCACCCUGCCCAACAAACAGCAGAGCACAGAAAAAGAACAGCCGGAUUUCCAUGGCCCUGCAUUGUCGGUGACAUCUUCUCUUUGUUACCAUCCAGAAGAGAACUGCUGCACUGACAGGAAGCAGGCAGACACCCCCAGAGCGCCACAACACCUGCAGCCAGAGACCUAAUGCAAAACAAAACCAAACCUCAGGCUGAAUGUGAUUUUCUGUGUGAUAGGGAAGAAAAUGAGAUAGAGAAAUGUGACCGAGCGCGUGUGCAGAUACGUUCAGGGGCACAAGUCUGAAUGGUCAACUCAAAAAUGUCAUUCACACUCUCAGACGAGUUCAGAGGCUACCUCAUUGGUGGGGAGGUGGAUUUUAAGCAAAUCAUAUAAAUUAGACUAAUCUGUGAAUAUCUGACUGAAUCUGAACCCUUAGAAAAUAAAAAUUUUGCAUAAUUUCUUAACAAUGUAGCUCUGGUAUGAUUACUGCUAUUACAGUAAAUUUUUAAAUCAUGUUAUGUUAUACCUUGGUAAAAUAAAAUGGACUUCCAGUUGAACAUGGCAGAUUAACCACAUGCCUGUAUCAACACCAAAAAUCCUACAAAAAUGCCAGUAAAUAUACUUUAAGAGGACUAUAGCAGCAGGAACAAGAGCAGAUAAAACAUUCUACUGACUUUUGGGUGACAGAAAGCAAGAGAGAGGUCUGUGAUGAUUUGUAUCAUAAGUGAUGCUCAGAGAAUUCCAACAAAAUAGUCCAAAGCCCAAGAGGCUCAUGCUGAAUGGGAGGGGGAAGGGUGUGGGAAACAAGAGGGUGUAAGUCACUAUACGAAGAGGCUAGACCUUUGCACCCAGGGACCCUCUCCCACCUACCCAAACCCCAAAGAAGUUUAUUACCCAAGGACAUUGAACCAGGAAAAUUAGAAACUCACAUACGCCAGGCACAAUGACGAACAGGGUGUGUGUAAUUCAGGGCUGAAAAUGAGGCACGAGGUGUUGGGAACUGAGGAAGAAUCAGUCUACUUACUGUACCAGGAAACCCCCACAGUCCCCUUCUUCCAUCCUGCUUCCAGAAUAGCUUAUCCAGGUUUAUUCCAGGCAGGGCUGGUGGAAUUAUUCUCAGGACCAUCUCAAUGAGCACAUAUACUGAUAUUUGAGGAUUUCCUUUGACAAAAAUGACCAGUUGCUGCUUCAUCAUUUUAAAGAAAAAUCAACAAUUGACAAGCCCCAUCCAUGUGCACAAAAAUUCCAACCUGAUUUUAAGUGCCUUGGAUCAGCCAAAGAUCAGUACGCAUUCAAGAAAAGCCUGCAAAAUGAAAGUCACAUCCAAAACAAAGAAGAGGAAAAAAACCUUCUAAAAACAUGUAGAUGGCCGGGCAUGGUGGCUCACACCUGUAAUUCCAGCACU